CAAUAGCGAUUACCCAUUUCCAUUUCCCUCCAAUUGAAAACCCAAAACCCCUCUCUCCUGUUGAUGGCAAAUGCCCGGCUAGAAAAUUGAGAGACGACUCUGCAAGUCGACGAUGCAGAGCUCCUAAUCGUGAGCCAAGAUCCCGCAAAUUGUGACUGCAAGAACCACAAAACCUCCAAGCUCAAGAACCCUAAAAAUCCGAACCUGCAGUUGCCUAAAUAUGCGACCUUCAGCGAACCUACAUUGGGAACCUUUGAAGAACUUCCGAUCGAGGGCCGACCUCCAUUGCAAACAUGUAGUGAACGUUCGACUAACUUGCAAUCGCCUCCCUUCCGUUUGUACCGAAAUGGCAGAUGUUGAGAAACAAUCAACAGGUUAGAAAAAAAAAUAACCUCCAUCUACUGCUGAUUCAAUUGGUUGUAGUAUUUUAAAUGAUUUAUUUUUUUCAAUUGGAUAGUAUCAUUUAUUGCAUAUUACUGGAGUCUUAACUUAUGUAAUUUUUAAUACAAAUGUAGAUGACUCAGACUUCAAUGACUCGGACUAUGAUGUGUAUGAUGAUGAUGAAAAUCUGUUUGAUCGUAGUGUGAUAUGCAUACUAUGGUGGAGUAUGAAGAAGCCCUUGAAUUACAUAGUUUUUCAUAUGCAUCUUCAGAGAAAUUAAAAUUCGGUAGUGGUUCAGAUUCGGAGGAUAAUUUAGGUCGAUUGAAUUACCUUGAAUAUUAUGAUGGAAAUGAAAAGAAGAAUCCACAUCUUGAGGUUGGUUUACUUUUUGCUUCGUUUGACAGCUGAAAUCUGUUGUUAGGAAUUAUGCAGUGUUCAAUCGGGUUAAACCUAUCUUCAAACAAAACGAUAAAGAUUGGGUUCAUUGUUUUUGUAAAGAUGGAUGCCGAUGGAAGUUGUGGGCGUCCAAGUUACAGGGUCGAGACACGGUUCACAUAAAAAUGUAUGAUCCGAAACACACUUAUUUUAAUGUUCGGACGAAUAAGUAUGCAAAUUAUAAAUGGCUUGCGGAAUAUUAUUUGGAGGACUUCAAAGUUGAUCCUGAAUGGAAGACAAAACAUUUUAGAACUACAGUGAGAAAGGAUUUUGUUUGCACAUUACUAAGGUACUUGCUUGUAAUUCGCGAAAGUGCGCUAAGGUUUUAAUAGAACAUAGCGAUAAAGAACAAUUUGCUUUGUUAUGGCGUUAUAGUGCUAAAUUGAGAAGAACAAAUUUGGGUUUAACUGUGAUCAUCUCUCAGGUGGAUAAUAUACUUAGGUAUCUACAUUUGCAUUGAGGCAUGUAAGAGAGGAUUCUUACUGGGUUGUCGAUGUUUUGUGAGUAUAGAAGGAUGUUUUUUGAAAGGAAAAUAUUGUGAUCAGUUGCUGGCAGCAAUUGGGGUUGAUGUCAAUGAUUGCAUAUAUCCUAUUUCAUAUGCAGUAGUUGAGAAAGAAAACACUAGUUCGUGGUGUUGGUUUCUUACAUUGUUAUCAGAGUACCUUUCUAUAGAGAACUGGUUGUUCGUAACCUUCAUGAGUAAUAGACAAAAAGGACUAGUUAAUGUUGUUGUCGAUCUAUUCCCGAAAGCAGAACAUGAACGUAGGUAUUGUGUUAAGCAUAUGUAUCAUAAUUUUUUUCGAAGCGAAUUCACGGGAAAGUACUUAAAAGAUUGUUUGCGGGGUGCUACAAAAUCAAGUCAUUUGGCUUUGUUUAAAUACUGGAAGUCAAAUAUUGAAACUGCUAAUUCGACGGCCGAUGGAUGGCUGAAGGCCAAACCAUUGUCUGAGUGGAGUAGGACUCACUUUUCUGAACAAGCAAAGUGCGAAAUGCUCCUUACUAACCUGUGCGAGUGCAAACAAAUUUAUUCUUGAGGAAAGAGAUAAAUCAAGUCUAACGAUGUUGAUUGGCAUUCAAAUGAAGUUGAUGCAUAGAGUUCAAAUGAAGCGGGACAAAAUGAGAAACUACAACUCAAUAUGUUCAAGAACCUAAAAGAUUCUGGAAAAAAAUGUUGUUGCGGCCCAUGAAUGCAUCUUGCGGUGGAAUGGGAUAAAUCAAUAUCAAGUGGAGUGUCCAAAUGGUGAAUACGUAGUUGACAUGGACAGCAAAAUUUGUGCUUGUCGAAGAUGGGAAAUAUCAGGAGUCCCGUGUUUGUAUGCCAUUACCUGCAUCUUAGACAAAGAACAUGAGAUAAAUGAUUGCGUGUCAGAACGGUUUACAGUUGACAGCUACAUGAGCCAUAUGAACACAUUAUAAAUCCGAUGAACGGCAAAGAAUUGUGGCUUGAAACUGAACAAUCACAUGUCAAGCCUCCACCUUGGUACGUUGCUACAAAAGGAAGGAAACAAAGAAAAGAGAAUGAACCCUCUUAAUCACAAGCACGAUCACAAUCAACAGUGUCAGUAAAAAAAAAGGGUAUGGUGUUUAUGACAUGUUCAGUGUGCAGAGUAAAAGGACACAGCAAAAGGUUCCACAAAGUGAAGAACGUACUACAUACCAGUGCAAGUGCAACUGAGGAUCAGCAAAUUGUUGAUGAUUGUUGAAAAUGAUCGAGGUUGUGAUGCUUUUGUUAUUUUGGGACAGUCCCUUAAUUUGAAUGAUUGGACUGAGAUGUCGGAUACACCAAAUGUGAUAGUGUGUUUAGUUAUCUAAACACUUUUUUUAAAACCUCUUACGUAAUUAUAGUGUUGGCACGAAAUGGAAAUACAUUUUGUGUUCUAGUCUAUCAUUUCAAUUGUACAUUGGGAUUGUAUUGAUUUUGGUAUUGAAUAAUCACAAGAAGUUGCUGGAAUUUUGGAAUUGAAACAAACUCAAAUUUGAAACAUAUUAAACAUAUUAUACCAACUUACUUGCAGCCACGUCCAAGGCCAUUUUACUAGCGAACUGAUACACAUUACAGGAACACUAUAGGAAACGAAAAGACAUUACAGAUCCAUAAAAUGAAUGCUACAAAAUGGGAACAAACUGUCUGAUUACAAAAUGGUUGAAACAAAAGCAUCAACACUACAAACAAAUCUAUUAGAUAUAAUUGGAAUUGCAUGAAUCUAUGAAAUUGGGCCGGGCGUCGUCCAUUUUGAGAAUUCAAAAUGUUUGACUGGCUAGUGAAGGAGUGACAUGUCAGCAAGGGAGUUUGACUGGUCAAAUCAAUAGAAGAGGAGCAUUAUUGGUUGAUGACAUAGAUGGGAAAUUAAUAGUUAUUGUAAGAAGUUUAUUAGUUUUUUAGGUACAAACACAUAGGAUGCUGGAGAUAUAGCUACGUGGCACUCCUCAAAGAAAACGUGAUUUUGAAUUUCAUUGAAUUUUGCUUAAAUUGCUAUAAUUUAGUAUUUCUACUUAUGUAGGAUUUAAUUAAAAACAUAUGUUUUUAUUAACAAAUUGGAUCGAGAAACAUUUUUUUGUUAUGUCUAGGCUAAAUAAUAUGAAUUGAGAAAGAGAGAUAAGAGAUAAAAUCUGGGUUAGUGAUUGUCAUCAAAGUUUAUCUAUUAUCUGAUAUCUUAUCUAUAUCCAUUUGGAUUUAGUGCAUUAUAUUAAACACGAGAGGUCCAAUAAAAAAUUGACCAUAGGCGUUUAGCCAGUUGGUCACUUCUCAAUAUUGUGUCAAUUUCAAUUUUAAAUUAUCGGAUACGGGAAUAGGCAUCCAUCAAUCAUUUUCUAGGUGGACGAGCAUUUAAUUUUUCUGACUUGGAGUUGACACAUGUUAUAGAGAUAUCAUGUACAUCAUUCAUAAAGAUCUCAUGGACAAGCAUUUGACCAAAAGAUUCAUAUCUUGAGUCGAGGCAUCGAAGAGGCACUCCUUCCAUUGUAACGCCUCGGUUGAUACCACUUUGGAUAGUAACGCUCUGGUCAGCCUGCAUCGCCUCGGACAAUAUCACGUAACGCUUCAGUUAGUCCACCUGACCAUGGCUCCGCAUAGGCAUAAUGCACGCUAAAGUGUAUUCUGCUGAGGAGGCAUAAUAAUGGUCUCUCAAGUCUAGGUCUGAAUAUUUAUAUAAUUCGUUGGCUACUGGAUCACUCAUGGACUUGGGUGGUUGCCGCUUUGGGAAAGUUCAAAUGGAAGAGGCGUCAUCCCACUAGAGGACAAGGCUCUGGGGGAUAGUAUCCCACUAGAGGACGAGGCUAUGGAGGAUAGCAACUUUGAGAAAGCUAAGGUUGUAGAGGUGUAGUCCCACCAGAGGAUGAGGCUUUGAGGGAUAGCAGCUUUCGGCAUAGCCCACUAGAGGACAAGGUUCUGGGGGAUAGCAACUUUGAGAAAGCUGAGGAUGCAGAGGCGUAGUUCCACCAGGACGAGGCUAUGGGAGUACGGAUAAGCCAAUGAUUUCAAAGUUAUUGCGGGUUCCCAAGGGAGAUAGUUGGAUUAUCGUUUACUCUCAAGAAAAGCUGCCACUACUAAUCAUGGCAAGCGACUGCUGAGGUUCAAGGAGACGCGCUUCAUGGGAUCGUGGGUGUCAUAGUCAAAUCAUGAGCAUUGAGCUUAUUUGAUGUUUAGUUUUUAUGGUUUGGAUUCAUAUCGAAAUUAACUACCAUGAUGAAUUAUGAUUGCAUCUGAUGGUGACGAUUGUUAGUAGUUGCCUUUAAAAUGUGUUUUCCCCAUUUUUCAAACUUUUCACUUUGGUUAAUAGUGAAAAUUCUCUUAUUUACUCACCUUUGACGACAUUCUUGCAUUUUUCUGGGUUGUCCGACGAUCUACUCAUAGUUUUAUUGGGUUUUCCAGCAAACCUCUAUUAGCCCUUCAUUCUUUGUAAGUAAACUACUCGAAACACUGCCAAAAUUUUUUAUUUCUAUAAAAAUGGUGUCUAAGUUGUUAGGAAAAGUGUUGGGUGGCAACUUAGGUUAGAGAACCCAUUGUACUAAGUUCGGUCAAAGUUUCUGCGCCCAUAAUAGGUGGGGAAAAAUUUGGAAGAGGCUAGAUAGUCACGUAGAUACCUUGGUUCAUUAGGGGCCUCUGACUAUCCGUCAAGGAUGAACAGUACAGAUUUUAUAAAACUGCAUGUCAAAUAUAGGAUUUCAGAUAAUGUAGGCCUUAAGUUUUGAACCUUAAUGAGCGAGCCUGCUGCCCAAGGUAGAUGUGCGUGGCUAUAAGCGAAGUCAUUCUUAGGGUAGGUUGAAGUUGCCUAUUCACCCUUUCUUUCGCUUCGUCUUUAGAUCUUAUAGUUUGGCCCCUACCCAUAAAACUCAAACUCCUGGAGUAAAUGGUGGGGUCAUGGAUGUUGUGGAGGAAAUACUCUUAUGGGAUGGAGAUGCCUUUUUUUGUUUUCCAAACCCUUUCCAUAUCCAAAGUAACCAUGAGGAGCGACAAAAUGAGGGGGGUGCUAUUACGUUGUGUCAUGGGGUCCAUACUUCAUUUGUGCUCGAUCUUCCAAACUUGAUAAAGGACUAGAAGAGCUCAUAGUCUUAGGCUUCUAAAAGGUGGGACACAAUGGAUGGGGAUCCCCUGACAUCUCUGACGAUUCCCAUGAAGUUUUCUACCUUUAGUGAGUCUCCCAUUGUUUUUUUAUCAUACAUAUGCCUGUUUGUUGCCUAAUAGUUUAUGUUCAUGCAGGUGCGUUGCGACACCAUCUGCAUCAUCUUACCACUGGCUCAUAAGGAAGAACAUUUACUUCAUAGACAAGGGAUCAUGUCUUCAUAUGUAAGGUAAAUUCUCGAAGUGGUUUUAUGGUUUUUAGCUAACUACGAACUAAGCUGCUUCUGUUCUUAUUGUAGAGGACUUCGCGAAGAAGAGGCCUUAGAAGCGAAACUUUGCUAUAAUUUAGAGAUUGAUAGCUGAAGCCAGAACGUUGAAGACCUCAUCUGUGGCCUAUAAGAAGCAGACUGAUGAUCUGGCGAGUGCUAGUAAAAAGCUCCAUUCGGGCGAAGAGGAGGAAGAUGAGAAUGAAGUUCCCUUGCUGAAGAAGGAAAAUCGAGUGGCUAGGUCGUUCUCAAAGGCCCCUACCAUGGCGAGGCCUAUCACCUGCCAAUCUACUAUUCCAACAGGGGUUAUAAUAAAAGGCAGGUGCCCUUAGUGGUUAAGACGACCCUAGCCCCCUAUGGUUCAAAGGGUAGCUUAGACACCUGACUUGGCAACGAAGAAGAUGCCUUACUUUGAGAAUGAGGUGGAUUUCUUGGAGACUAACCUCGAGGAGCCAGUGAGGGAGGUUGCCAUGAUCUAUAGCAAGUACUGGACCGAUACUUUGAGGGAUCACACCUCAUCUUACACCAUCGAGAAAUCGGUGGCGACCAAUAAUGCUUGCAUCACCCAAGCCUUUAGCACAAGCGUUCAGCUUGAGGGCCUAGUGAAGGAUCUGAGGGCCAAGAACGUAGAUCUGGCCCAGCGGUUGGAUACUAUCAUGCACUAUAAGGAUGCAAUAAGUACAAAGAAGGCUCAGGCUAAAGAAGCCUAGAAUAAAAGGGUCGAGGCUAGAAAUAAGCUCGAGAAGGCCAAAACCAUAGCAGAGCGCUGGAAGAACGAGCUGCAUGAAACUGAGUGCCAGGUGGCGACACUUAUGAGGCAACUCGACUAUGCCAAUGAGCACCAUUACCCAGCAGUGAAAGCCUUGGAUGCCUCAAACAAAGAGAAGAUAUAGUUGAGGCAGUGGGUGGAGGCCUAGAAGAAGGAAAUAGAAUCCUUGAAGGUCGAGGUGAAGGUUUUCAGGGAGUCAACAGUUCAAAACUUCAUUGACCACUUCGAAAAGCAUAAACUCUAUGGUACCUUCACCACCUACUAAGCUUCUUAGAAUGCUCAAAUGAUGCUACAGCAACUGAAGGAGGUCCACCCAUCCUUGGACAUUUUGUCACUAAAAGAGGAGUUUGGGAGACCUAUCGAAGGUUGCCUUGAUAUCCAUGAUGAACCUCUAGGGGUUCCAAAGGAAUUUGAUAUCGAGGAGGGGUCCAUUGUGCAAGUAGAUUAGUAGGGCUUGUAAUGGCUUCGACCCCCCAAUAUACAUUUUCUAUUAAUGAAAUUUCAAGUGUAUUUGCUUCUUCCAAUAUUGUUUGAACUAGCCUUGAUAUUUUAAUUACUGAAUUUUAGACUUAAGGUUGUAUGAACGCUUAGUCACAAACAGUAAUUAAGUUUCAUAGAUACAUGAGUACGUAAGUUUACAACGAACACAUACUAUUGGUAGUAUUUUCUCAAAUGUUCAAUGUUCUAUUGACGAGGCAAAAGUUUUCCUUCCGUGCCCUGAAUCUAAAAGGUACCAGGUUGUGUUUCUUAGUUUAUGAGAUAUUGGCCCUUCCACUUUGGGCCUAACACAUCACAGUGGGGGUAAUGUAUGCCUUGCGCGUUCUCUUUGGUGAAUAUGAUUGGCUCCACUUUUCUGCCUGUUGUGAAUGGUUAACAAUGUGGUUGGUCAUAGGAGGAUCUUUAGCCUCGGUCGCAUAGUUCCGUUGCACGUUUUGAGUACUGUCUCUUAUACUAGGGCCUUCAAUUAUCAUGUUAAUCUUCUAGAUGGGUUCCUUUUCAGCAGCUCAUGCUUGAUCCCUUUUUUGCCCGUGCCCUUCCCAGGGCCUAUCUUUUGCUUCUCUCCUUUACCAAGGCAUACGAUCUUUUUCUCAUUUCACAUUUCUAACGGGAGAGGCAAGCCACUAAGGAUUCUUACAAUUUCGAUCCUCCAUCAUGGGGUAAGGGUUACCUUUUUGCAAGGAUCAUGGAGAGUCUCAACACUCACUCGUAUCAUGACCGUAGAAACGAUGUAAUGUACAAUAUGGUCGCACCUCUUCUGUGGGUCGAUGUCUAGACGCUCACCCUAUUCCUCGACUCUUGGGAGCUAUCUUUCUUGAUGUUCCUACCUCGACGUUCAUACUGAGACCCAAAUUUUCAAAUGCUAAUGAUGGCAUCGCGUUCAGCCAAACAUGCCUUAAAUAAAACAUUUGGAAAUGGUCAUACGCCCGACUUCUAGUAAUUGAGCAAGAGCUCCAAACCGUCGAAAAUUGGUUGAUGCUAAAGCCUGUCCGAGGUGGGGCCCACAGCGUGCCCAGUUUGGGUCCAUUGUUGGCUAACCAAAUGUGCGUUAGGACCUCUUCCCAUUUGCCUCUGGGGUGGCGGAAGCCCUUGCGCUGCUCUGUUUCAUAGUCAGUCAUUUCUUCACUGACAAUCUCUGUUCUCAUCAUCUCCACCAGCUUAUCAUAAGUGGCGAAAUUCUUAUUUUGUACAUCCCGCCAAAACAAAGUAUUUAUAUUAAGGCCUCACUUCAAGGUCGAAAGGGCCUCCUUGUCGUAAGCUGCUCACAAUAAGAUAUCUCAUCAGUAAAGCAGGCUAGGUAAUUCUUAAGCAUUUUACCUAUGGCUUAUCUCAUGUCCUGCAGGCAUUGAAUGAGGGCCUCACCUUCUCUCUUUUAUAGAUAUUGAUUUAAAAAUACCUUUUUAAGGUCGGGCCAACUCCUGAUACUCAGUGGUUGCAACUGAUUGUACCAAACAUCGAUGCCCCGCUCAAGGUUAGAUGGAAGACUCUGCACUUAAAAGCCAGUGAAGCUCCUAUUAAGCUAUCCGUGUCUUAUACUUAUUGAGAUGUUUCUUUGGAUCACCUUUCAUUCGUACUUUGGGAUUUUAUGGGGUACGAAGUUGGUGGGUAUCGAAAGAUUUCGGAGCUCUCGUAAAAAAUAAAGGUUGUCGUUGUCAUCCAGUUCGUAUGAUAAACAUAGUCCCUUAGAAUUAUUCUCAUCCAGCUUGUUUUAGGGUUAUGGCUACGAUGCCUCCCCCGACUUCCUUAAUUCAUCAAGUUUCGUCUUUUUCACCUAUUUCUAGGUUGAGGAGGCUGUGUCUCUUGUUCUGUUCAUGUUCCUGCUAAGCCGCCCGUUUGGCGGAGUGGUCCCUACUCCGUGGGUUCCGCCCCAUUCGGUCAAACACCCUGACAGACUUUUUCUUUCAUAAUCUAGAAGAAAGUUCUCUCUCAGCUGGGGAUUCGUCGUAGGUGGACCCGUCGCAUACGAUAAGAAGUCGAUCUCCACUUUCCUUUCAAUGGGGAAUUCUCUUUGAUAGCUUGAGUGCCCUUGAUUGUGGGCCCCUUGAGGUCGUUCAUAAGCUGUCGAGGGCCUUCCUAUAGAUAUUUGAAGCCCUUGCUGGCCCUGAACUUGCAUAAGGAACUCAUGCAUAACUGCGUUCUGUGCCGUAAUGUUCCUCAUGUUAGCAGCCAUUUGGGCUACUUCAGCAGUUAAUCUUACUACCAUUCCAUCGCCUUGGCGGCGAUGAUGGUAAGGUCUCUUGUACAUGACAUUUGCUCGGAGAACCUCUUCUUCAAAGGUUUCUCUCAUUUUCCUCGGAUUAACAUCCUCGUUGCUUGAACUCAUUGACUUUGAGCUCCACUCUAGCGACAAAUUUAAUCUGGAUUUUUCGGUGAUGAGCAAGUGAGAAAUACUAAAAUAGUUUUCCACAGACAGCAUCAAUCUGUUGACCUCGUAAAAUGAUUCUUCCACAUGGCCAACCUAGAGCUACUCCACGUGUGUUCCUUCCUACGCACUGCACAAACGGUCAGAAGUAUAUGGCCUAACCCAGUAGACUCUGACGAUCAAGUUAGUCGACGAUAGACAUAUUUCAAUGGUGAUAGGUAUCGAAAUUUUAUGUAAGAGAAAAGUGAAUAUAUAUAGCACCGUCAGAUGAGUCCAUGUGUCCUGUAUCUAACAGUGCUCCUUUCAACAGUUUCCCUAUAAAUACCAGAGAGCCCGACCUUUAUACAUAUAUAUAUAUAUAUAAAGGUCGGGCUCUCUGGUAUUUAUAGGGAAACUGUUGAAAGAAGCACCGUUAGAUACAGGAGACAUGGACUCAUCUGACGGUGCGAGGCAUCUACUCGUAGGCUUCCAUCAAUCAUUUCCUAGGUGGGUGGGCAUUAAUUUUUCUGACUUGGAAUUGACACAUGUUGCAAAUUUGUCCCAUCAUUCCUCAAGAUAUCAUGGACAUAUAUUUGACCAAAUGAUUCAUAUCUUGAGUUGAGGCACUCCUUCCACCGUAACACGCCUAGAUUGAUAUCACUUUGGAUAGUAAAGCUUCGGUUAGUUCGUAUUACCUUGGAUGGUAUCACUUUGGAUGGUAAUGCUUUAGUUAGUUUGCCUGGCCAUGGCUCCAAAUCGACUUAACGUGCUUAACGUAUGCCAAAGUGUAUUCUGCUGCGGAGGCGUAACAGGUAAAAUAAUUUCCAGGAAGUUGUAAGGGAGUAGAUGUGCUGUAUGCGUCACCAUAAUCAUAAUUUUUUCAUAUUGAUCAAGAUAUCUUUUUGUCUACGAAAUUGUAAUAAUUUUUCUUGCCAGAUUUGAAUGCAGAAGAGAAGCUAAAGAGGCAAAGUAGUAUGCAAGAGAUGGCUUGUCGGCAGUUUCUUCCAUACUAGUGGAUGCCGUCCAUAGUUAUAAAACCUGAUUCGGAUCAGUUGGUCGAGCAGGAGAAUCGGUGACCUGGGC
rnacentral:lncRNA from 1 species